GACAAGCGGUGGCCGACUAAGAACGCCACGUCCUGUGGCGACGUCGGCACUAGGACAUCCUGUCCG
rnacentral:sRNA from 1 species